CCAGCAUGACUCAGCAAACCCCCAGCCCGCGCUUCCCGGGCCUGCUCUUCCGAAAUCUCGGGAGAUCCAGUGCGGCGGGCAUUGGAAGCGGAAGCCUGGAAGCAGCCGAGGAGAGAAGUCUGUGUUGGGGAACGGAGGGGGGUUGUGGGAGACUAGUCCGGCUUUUGGAGAGAUGAGGAUGAUCCUUCUCUGGUGAAGAGAUGGAGGGAUAGAAAGCACCAGCAGAGAAGACCUCAGCCAAGAAGCAGAACACAAGUGUCCUCAGCUUCAAGUCCUCUCUCAAGGCUUCCAAGUUGGAGAUUGUUGUUGCUGCCGGGAGGAACCCCCACCUGUGAGGUCAAGAUCGUCAUCAAGUAAUCCAGACUAUUAUGGCAGAAGAAUUCGUCUCUGGCCACCCAACAGUGGGGACCCUGAACAAGAGCCAAGCGAAGAUUCUGUGAAGGUCAUCAUGGAGAUAGUGCCAUGUGAUUACUCAGAAGAGGAAGACCAAGCUGCUGAUGAGGUGGACACCACAGCCCAUGAAAAUCGUAUGUAUUCUCAACUCACUCACAGGCUUAGACAACAUUUAAGUACUGAGAAAGUUUGGACUUCUUUGCCUAUUUUUGUUCAGCAAUCUGCACUGAUUCCAACUUUGUGGGAGAUUAAAGAGGAAU